rnacentral:hammerhead_ribozyme from 1 species
AUCUACCCGAAGAGUCCCAAAUAUGACGGAACGCGCGUCGUGAAU